AACUAACGCUGGCGGCGUGCCUAACACAUGCAAGUCGUACGAGAAAGUUGGCUUCGGCCGAUGAGUAAAGUGGCGCACGGGUGAGUAAUGCGUGGAUAAUCUGCCCUUUAGUUGGGAAUAACGUACCGAAAGGUGCGCUAAUACCUGAUAAUACUGCAUAACUACUGUUGUGUAGUCAAAGAAGGCCUCUGUUUACAAGCUUUUGCUGAAGGAUGAGUCCGCGUACCAUUAGCUGGUUGGUGGGGUAAUGGCCUACCAAGGCUACGAUGGUUAGCUGGUCUGAGAGGAUGAUCAGCCACACUGGAACUGAGACACGGUCCAGACUCCUACGGGAGCAGCAGUGAGGAAUAUGCGCAAUGGGGCAACCCUGACGCAGCAACGCCGCGUGAGUGAGGAAGGUUUUCGGACCGUAAAGCUCUGUCGAGCGGGAAGAAAUGUAUCAUGGCUAAUAUCCAUGAUACUUGACGGUACCGCUAAAGGAAGCACC
rnacentral:rRNA from 1 species